UAUUCCUCAGCAACAGCUUAUGGACUUGCAUAAGCAGAUGAAAAAAAAAAAAGAGGCUUGGGAUGUAUUAAAAAACAUGUAUGUAUAUGAUGGAUGGAAAGAGAGUGUGCAGGAAUACCACACAAAUGAAUGUCUUUCUGUAUUUUUGGAGUCUUUUUUGUUUCAGGCCCGUGGUGAUGGUGCCUUGGAAGGGUUCUGGAAUUUCAGAACACAAAGUAGCAGUUUUAAAUAAUGAGAGAAGAUUCCACAUGGAACGCUCAUCUAGCUGUGGCAGCCUGUGACUGAAUGAGAGAAAAGUGCCCUAGAAGCUAUUCAUUACGAAUUCACUGGAAGCUCUCAAACGAGGCUGGCAGAAGCUGAAAUUGAAGUGGUCUCUGACCUAAUUUUCUUCUGCAUGAAACAUCUGCAUCAAGGCUCUCUUUGAUGUAUUCCACUUGGCUCUGUCUACGGGAUUGUAUCACAUGGCCUCGGUGUUGCCUCCUUAUUGAAAGACAUUUUCAGCCUGUGCAAGAAGAUGAAAAUCUCAGCAGAGCCCCCACUGUCUCAGUCCUGAUGUCUACCUAAGAAGCACAGACCUGCCAAAUCUCGCAGGCACAGGAUCAGAAUCCUGGACCGAGAAGAGGACUUGACGAAGACUAGUGUAAAAUGUUCUCUGCAUCCAUUUCCUCAAGAGACUAUAAACCAAUAGCAGAAAAAUGAUGUGAUCAGGUUUCUGAGGCAGUGGCUGCUUUACAUUAACCAAGGAAGAUAGCUGCUAGGAGGAUCCAUUCUGUGAACGAAAAGGAAGAGCGGGACACAGAGAUCUAAAGAGCACAGAGCUAAUUUCAUUGAGUAGACAUUUGUUGAGACCCCACUUGGUGUAAAUAUAAUCCCGGGGACAAUGGAAGGACAAGCAGAGGGUCUAACAAUUGUCUGCCUUCAAGCACUCUACAGUUUGUAGGGGAGCUGAAAUGUGCCCACUAAAUGCUAAGGAAGGCAAAGUCUAUGGAGAAAUUAAAAAAAAAAAAAAACCUGGGCUGGACUGGAGAAAGGAUCUCAGUUGGCUGCCUCCUCUUUGUCAUCUGUUCCUGCUCCCUUCCCCCUCCAACACCACCAGCCUUCGCCCUGAGCCUGCCCAAGGACAAUAGGGAGCGGCCCUUGAUGAGGCU